rnacentral:rRNA from 1 species
CUGAUGCGUUGUUGGGUAGGGGAGCGUUCUGUAAGCCUGUGAAGGUGGCCUGUGAGGGUUGCUGGAGGUAUCAGAAGUGCGAAUGCUGACAUAAGUAACGAUAAAGCGGGUGAAAAGCCCGCUCGCCGGAAGACCAAGGGUUCCUGUCCAACGUUAAUCGGGGCAGGGUGAGUCGACCCCUAAGGCGAGGCCGAAAGGCGUAGUCGAUGGGAAACGGGUUAAUAUUCCCGUACUUGGUGUUACUGCGAAGGGGGGACGGAGAAGGCUAUGUUGGCCGGGCGACGGUUGUCCCGGUUUAAGCGUGUAGGUGUGUGUUCCAGGUAAAUCCGGUUCACUUUAACACUGAGGCGUGAUGACGAGGCACUACGGUGCUGAAGCAACAAAUGCCCUGCUUCCAGGAAAAGCCUCUAAGCAUCAGGUAACAUCAAAUCGUACCCCAAACCGACACAGGUGGUCAGGUAGAGAAUACCAAGGCGCUUGAGAGAACUCGGGUGAAGGAACUAGGCAAAAUGGUGCCGUAACUUCGGGAGAAGGCACGCUGACACGUAGGUGAAGUGAUUUACUCAUGGAGCUGAAGUCAGUCGAAGAUACCAGCUGGCUGCAACUGUUUAUUAAAAACACAGCACUGUGCAAACACGAAAGUGGACGUAUACGGUGUGACGCCUGCCCGGUGCCGGAAGGUUAAUUGAUGGGGUCAGCGCAAGCGAAGCUCCUGAUCGAAGCCCCGGUAAACGGCGGCCGUAACUAUAACGGUCCUAAGGUAGCGAAAUUCCUUGUCGGGUAAGUUCCGACCUGCACGAAUGGCGUAAUGAUGGCCAGGCUGUCUCCACCCGAGACUCAGUGAAAUUGAACUCGCUGUGAAGAUGCAGUGUACCCGCGGCAAGACGGAAAGACCCCGUGAACCUUUACUAUAGCUUGACACUGAACAUUGAGCCUUGAUGUGUAGGAUAGGUGGGAGGCUUUGAAGUGUGGACGCCAGUCUGCAUGGAGCCGGCCUUGAAAUACCACCCUUUAAUGUUUGAUGUUCUAACGUGGACCCGUGAUCCGGGUUGCGGACAGUGUCUGGUGGGUAGUUUGACUGGGGCGGUCUCCUCCUAAAGAGUAACGGAGGAGCACGAAGGUUGGCUAAUCCUGGUCGGACAUCAGGAGGUUAGUGCAAUGGCAUAAGCCAGCUUGACUGCGAGCGUGACGGCGCGAGCAGGUGCGAAAGCAGGUCAUAGUGAUCCGGUGGUUCUGAAUGGAAGGGCCAUCGCUCAACGGAUAAAAGGUACUCCGGGGAUAACAGGCUGAUACCGCCCAAGAGUUCAUAUCGACGGCGGUGUUUGGCACCUCGAUGUCGGCUCAUCACAUCCUGGGGCUGAAGUAGGUCCCAAGGGUAUGGCUGUUCGCCAUUUAAAGUGGUACGCGAGCUGGGUUUAGAACGUCGUGAGACAGUUCGGUCCCUAUCUGCCGUGGGCGCUGGAGAACUGAGGGGGGCUGCUCCUAGUACGAGAGGACCGGAGUGGACGCAUCACUGGUGUUCGGGUUGUCAUGCCAAUGGCACUGCCCGGUAGCUAAAUGCGGAAGAGAUAAGUGCUGAAAGCAUCUAAGCACGAAACUUGCCCCGAGAUGAGUUCUCCCUGAGACUUAGAGUCUCCUGAAGGAACGUUGAAGACGACGACGUUGAUAG